ACACAUCGAUCCCUACUUUCCUAAAUUUUUUAAAAAACAUUAAGUAGUAAAUCAUUACAUAACAUUGUCCUACAAAUCAUAGUUGUUAUAUAUUAUCAAUUCAUUAAUUUGAAACAUACAUAAAUUCCCAAAAAUUUUAAAAUUUAGAAAACAAAGACUAUAGUACUUAUGAACUCAUUGACGACUAGUGGGUUGUGUUCUCUUUGUUAUUUUGAAGUCUCUAUCUCUUAUCACUUUUCAAAAACUUAUUUUUUGCUUCUUACUUGAAGAUUAGGCAUGAAGCAUUUUCAAAGACGAAAAUACAACUAAAUCAAGAAGGGAAUAAGAAGUGAUGAAGGUUUUCCAGGGUUUUCAUUCUUUACCUCUAAAAGAGAAAGGAAAAUUUUGAUGGUUUGAAUUAAGAGAGAGAUAAGAAGUGAGAGAGGUUUGUUACAAUUUUCAAAGGGGUUUCUAUUCUCUACAUUUGAAACUAAACGACGAAGAAGAAUUUGAAGGGUGAUUGAUUUCAAAAAGUGAAGAAGUUGAAAGUGCAGAAAAUAGCUUGGAGUUUCACACAAGAGUAAUAACGGUGUAUUCCAAGGAAACAAAAGAAAAAGGGGUUUUUUGUCCUACAAGGAUCAUUUUUAAUAUUUUUAAAGCAAGGGGUUAAUUUUGCAAAUAUAGAUGUUAUAACAACCCUUUUAACCAAAUAACCCUUUCAUGAACAUGUCUCAAACUCCGAUAUGAGAUUUUUUUAACUUCCUAGAGCACAUUAAAAAAUUUGACACCAAGAUGAUAAUCUUUAAAAGCUUGAGGAAUUGAGGAUUCCAAUGGACACCCCCUAAACCCAAGCCAAACACAUGUAUCUUCCUUUACUCCCUCAAAGGAUAGGACAUCUCCUUGAAAGAUAUUACAAUCUUAAAUAAUAAUAAUAAUAAUAAUAAUAAUAAAAUAAAAGUAGUCUUAGUGACAAGGAGAUUGAAGUUUUUGGAUUUCAAAACAUUAUUGAUGAGAAUGGUUUGUUAAUUUUGAGAUUCGAAGAACAAUAGCAUAAGUAUAAUAUUAAUAAUAAAAAAUAAAAAUAAUAAUAAAAGGGUUUAAACUAUAUGUUUAUAUAUUUUUGUAAUAUAAACACAAAUUUGGUUAUUAUAGAAAGUUUUAACAUUAUGAAUUCCUUUUCAAAGUAAAUAAAAUGUAUAAAAAGCAUAAUAUUCCUUUGAAUACUUAUUAGAACAUAGUUCAUAAUCAAUAAGAUGAUGAAAUAAAGAUCAUGUCUAGUUUACACAUCAUGCGCAUAAAUCACUUACAUAACUCAUAUUCAACUUCUCAUUCAAAUAUGCAAAGCACACUCAACUUGCAAAAUUUAUGAUUUAAGAUGAUUCAAAAUAUAAGAAUAGGAUUAACAUUCAUAUUGUAAUUAAUAAUCUUUGGAAUUGUAGAAUGAACUACACAUUAUGUUUUAGAUGCAAAAUUAUAGAUUGAUUUUCGAGUUACCUUACCUGAAAUCCCCACUUCAAAAUAAUUUAUGUUCCUUCCAAUUUAGUGAUAAAACUUCUUCACAAUUUCCAAGAGUUCAUAAUUCCUAAGGAUAAAUAUACACCUAUGCUAGCCAAAUUAAAGGAAUAAUUAUAGUGGAUCCUCCACAUUAUAGUUCAAUCAUCUACUAGUUCUUAAAUGUUUAGCUCAAAGUAAGUUAUUUCAAAUCUUUCCACCCUUUAUGACAAUGGAAGGAAUUGGACUCAGUUUUUCCAAUCAUAUAUUGCUCUAGACUAGCGGCAACAAUUUUGCUUCACAUACUCAAUUCAAGAACAACUCAAUAAAGCUAGAAUAAGUAUCUUCAAUAGAAACUACACACAAACAAAUGUUCAAUCUCAAUUUAUCAUUCAAUAUUAUCUUUUGAUUAUCUUUUUGCAGGCUUAAACUCAUAUUUUUAUUUUGAAUUUGCCAAUCCACUUUUGACCAAUGAGAUUUUAUGUUUUAUUUCCAAAGCUAUGGAUGUUUCUAAUGACAACUCAAAACUCUAUCAACUUUCUUUGUGCGACUAUGUCAAAUAUGAAAACCCUUAUUUUAUUUAUUUACUUUUUUUUUUAAUAGGUAAAUCAAUUGUAUUAGAAGUGCCUAAUGUAGGGUACACAAAAGUGUACAUUAUGUAUACAAGGUACUAAAGACAAAAAAAGAAGAGGUAUACAUAAAAAAACACCCUCGCCUCACUUACAAUCCAGCCAAACAAUAAAAUCAAAUAAUGACAAUGAGUUAAAACCCAAAUGCACCGUAAAGAGGGGAUAAACAAAAAAUAACACUCUCGCCUAAAUUACAAACCAGCCAAACAAAAUCAAAUAAUGACAAUGAGAUAAAACUUAAAUGCACUCUAACCCAAUCCAAGAACAUGUACAUAAAGGACCGCAUAAUUACUUGGCCUGCCAUUUCAGAAUCAUCAAAGGCUUUCUAAUUUCACUACUUCCAAAUGGCCCAAAAUAAGCACAAAGAAGUUUCUCUCCACAAUUGCUUUUCUUCCCUACAAAAUCUCCAUACCAACUAAGAAGGGCAUCAUUGAUUGAAGGUGGCUGCACCCACUUAACACCAAAUAGAGCAAAAAUAAGCUACUAAAGCAUUGCUACUUUAGGGUAAUGAAGGAUGAUAUGAUUUGUUGAUUCCUUUUCUCCUUUAAAAAACAACACCUGCUCCACAAAUAUCAACCCCCCAAAAAUAAGCUACUAAAGCAUUGCUACUUUAGGGCAAAGGACAACUCAAAUAAUUUGCCAGCCUUUGUGUCAGCCAUAUUGAACCAUAAAGACCAAACACCUUAUUUUAAUGUCAACUAUCUACGCUCAAGAUUCUCCAUAAAUUAGGAGCAUAUUUAUUUUGUAGCCAUGAUAUGUUUUUAUGACACAUUUAAUUGGUUACACUAAAUUUCAGUACUUCCUGACAUCUCCAAAGGUGUUAUGUAAUUACGAACAAGAAAAAUGGAAGGGGGACUGCAUUCCACUUCAAGAAUCUAACUUCAGCAAAAGAACCGACGUUUUGGCACAUCAGGAAGUUCUAUAACAGGAACCUAGUGUAUGGUUGACUGAACAACACAGAAUUGAAAAACCGAAUUACUGAAUCCACUAACAGAAAACUGUACCUUAAAUUAUGUUCUUUGUUGCACCAAAAAUUGCAUAUUUCCAGUUAGAAAAAGAACCCAUUUAUUACAGCUUCAGGAAAGAAAAAAGAAUCACAUGCUAGUUUGUAUGCUAUGAGGUACAACUAAAGAACAAGGUGAAAAUGUAAGCCAUCCUUGAUGUGAAGAUUGUAUGAUAGCGAUAGAGAGCACGCCUGUAAACAGUCAUGUUCCUCACAUGAAUGCUGACAAGCAUGCUCUCUCUCGUUGUCAAGCAAUUAUAUGUCAAAGUUGAAUUAAACAUCUGCAGAACAAUGGAACGCACUAAGAAAUAUGGUAGCAAACAAAUAUUAAACUGAAAAUUUUCUGAUAACCAUGGUUUGCUCGCCAAGGUAAUGGACUAUAACAUAAAGAUGCUUUAGAACCUCAAAAUGCAAUAAGCUGUCCAAAGCCUGCAAAAUUGUUUUCAGCAAAACAAACACCAUUCCAUGCUCCCUUCCCGAAAAUCCCCAAAAAUUAGUAGGAACACCUUUAACCUCAAAGUGAUUGAGCUCCCUUAUUCAUCUUAAAAGCCCAAGUCUUUCUAGACUCAAAUUUAAAAAUGAUAUCUGUAUCAACAACAAAAAGAAUAAAAAUAAGUAAACAAAUACACACAAUUAGUAAAAUCCAACAACAUAAGAAGUACACCCAGAUUUUUCCAGCAUGAAAUUUCAAAUAAUAAAUAGAUUGCACAUCGAUAAAUUAGACAGGUAUAGCAAACAAAGAGUUUAACCAAAUUGCCACUGUUUAUAAAUUUUUUUCUAAGCAGCAACAGCACCUUUACAAACACAAGAUCAAACACUUGAAAACAGAGACAGAUACUACUCUGAAGAUGGACACCACAAUAAGCUUAACACUAGACUUCAGAAGCCCAUCUUUAGCUUUCUCUUUUAGAAAAUUGAAAUUCAUCUUUUCUACUAAGGGAAAUAACAACAAAAGGAUGAAGGAAAAAGAACAUACCAACCUUAAUAUGCAUGAUAAGAUGAGGUGAAUCUUUCCCAAAUAAGCAUAUUAUUGGACUGUUAAGCUUCAUACCUUGGUUUAUCAUCGAAUUGACAGAAUUCCAAGGUAAAUAACCUAAAUCGGAUAUAUAUUAUCAUUGAUUUCAAAAACAAGCAAGAAAAAAGAUAGAUCUCUGAACCAUGAAACCUCAAAUCUAGCAAGAAUCACUACCAAAAGAUUAAAACAAAUACACAAUCCAAAUAUUUGUAAAAAAGCAACAAAGACAUUAUUAAGCUGCAAGUUUGUCCAUCACUCUCAUUAAAAAUGUAAAACAAGAACAUUUACUCACCAAAAAUGCCACUGGCAGCGAACUCAACAUCUUCCAAGCAUGAAAUCUGAAAACCUGGCCUGAAUCAUCAGCAUCACAAAUUGAAAGCAUAAUGCCUAACUCAAAUUCCAUAUAAGUAAAAUAAGGAGCAGCUGAUAAAAAAAAUGUCAUUUAAAAUAAUACCUGGGAAACCCUAACCCUCUGUUUGGUUGCUGAGAGCACUAAGUAAAACGCAUGAAAAUAAAAUGUUAAAUUAGAUGUUUUAUUCCGUUUUAGUUUCACAAAAAGCAAACCAAACAUCAACCAAGCGAAAUAGAUGCAGUCCCCUCAACUAUGAAAAGAUUCAUUUCCUUUUGGGUUCCAACCAAUGAAAAACCACUCAUAUGCAAUCAAACUUUUUCUUUCUUUUCCUUUCCUUCCCUCCAUCUUCUCCACAACCAAACACGGUAAAGUAGACUCAAGCAUGCACUUCAAUAGAACUAAAGACAACACACAAAUGCCCAAAAAAAAAAAAAAAUCAUAAAAACUAAAACCAAAAUAAAUCCGGUGAAUUGAAAACCAUGAACUCUGACUCCUAGAUCUACCACCAACAAAAAUUCAAACUGAAAACACAAAAAAAAAAAAAAAAAAAAAGAAAUCCAGAAAAAAAAAAAAAAGAAAAGUAACAGGUCUUAGGAAUAUCAUCCCCUUCAUGAUUGUUUUUAGUUUGCUCCAUCUUUAGUUCACUUUCAGCUUGUUUUCAGUUUGUUUCUUGCAUAUCUUUUGUUUGUUUUAAUUGCUACUUUAGUGGAUCUUUUUGUUUGAGCCAUUUUCCUGUUGUUAGUAGAGUUAAAUCUUAAGUUUCAGUUACUUUAUUGUUCUAGGCAGUAGUUAGGGGUGUUUUCUUGGAGAAUCAAGGCCUCACCUUAGAUUUUUCUAACCUCAUUGAUAAGCAAAGUCCAAGUUAGCUUAUUAGCAACUUCUAUUCCAUAUAAAUGAAGCUGUGUUGGGGUGUGUAAGGAGUAAGGGAUAGUUCUUGAACACUUAAGGGUUCUAUAGUUCUCUCUCACAUACACUUUGCACACUACUUCUUGGUUUUAAGCUGCUGAGUUAGACUUUUAACAGUUGUGAAAGACUCCAAAUAAACUGCAUUUAGUCUUAGGAAGUGAAUAAGAUGCUACUCAGGUUCAAAGAGAGUGUCAAGGUCUCUUCUCCUAAAGCAAGAAUCAAGGAUCAACAAUGUUUUGCCAGAAAUAUUUCUCUCUAUCCUUGCUGCAUCCCUUCCUACUGAUUCUGUUGCUUCCCUAUUCAUCUCAACAAUAUUUUCUUAGACAGAUUCACCAAUCUCAAUUGCUUUAGGAUUUUCUAAUUUGUUCAGGUCCUUCAGAAGCAAUUUCUUUCUCAGCAUUUUCAGUAUUAAUUUCCUCAAUCUCCCUUUCAAUUGGUGGAUCAGUUUCCAUGGCAGCAUCUUUCUCAGUUUCAGCAGUGAUUUCCUCAUCCCUCUGCUCAGCUUUCUCAUUAAUUUGCUCAACAGCAUUCUUCUAUGUAGGCUCAGACUCUUCUCUACCCUGCUCUUCAGUUUCCUCUCCUUCAACUUCAUCAUUAAUUCUUCCACUUGGCUUCUCCCCCAUCAGCAUGAUCACAGAAGUGAUCCAUACCUCCUCAAAAAUAGUCCUGAUCAUCACCAUCAUCAUUGGAAGGAGGAUGAGAUGUAUUAGCAGCUUUCAUCAUUCAAUAAUUCAUUAAAGUUAGGAUCUGGUUUUUAACCCCCUCAUUGAUCGUGUUCUCAUUGAUCUCCAAGUCUUACAUUUUCUUGUGUACACCCCCCAUUGAAAAUUUCGAAGGCAUUAAGCUUUUCUUCCACAAAUUAGGUAUUUGGGGUCAUUUCCUUACAUUUUCUCCUACAACUAACUCAGCUUCAUGUCACGAACUUAGGUAUUUCUUAAGCUCACGUGCAACACUGAGACAACCCAAGAUUCUUUAAGUUGCUAACUUAACCCUACCCCAAGCUUAGCUCAUGAUGCCAAGCAAAGCUACUUGACUUUGAAGCUAAGAUACACAAUUGUAUUAAACAUGAAUAGAAUUUGGUAAGAGUUGAAUUCGUACUAAGAUUAUGAAUGGAAAAAUGUGGAAGAUAGUGUGUUGUUUAAGACAAUUCAAGAGAAGGAUAAGGUCACUGAAUUUUUAGAAGGUUUGAAUCCGGAACUUGAUCAACAAAAAGUGGAGUUUUGGGGAAGGAGCCAAUCCUGUCCAUAAGAAAACUCUUUGCCACAAUCAGGAAAAAAUAAAGAAGAAAGAAGACUCCAAUUGUUGAUGAAAAAGUCAAAUUCUCAAUCAACCACAGGGAAUAAAAUGCUGGAAUAUUAAGCACUUUCUGUUCACAAACCUGAAGCUGUUGUUUUUGGAGGACCGAGGUAUAGAAGUGAUGAAAAAGAUAAGCUGUGUUGUGAUCAUUGUCACUGAUCACGUCACAUUUAUGAUAUGUGCUGAAAGCUUCAUGGGAGGCCUCAAAAUUGGAACAAAAACAAUAGAAGGCAAGGUAGCAGUGGUCAUUAUUUUUCUAAAAUUUUCAUUAUUAAUUUUAAAAGUUCUUAAGCUUUAUAACUAGUGUAUUGUGUAUAUUACACAAUACCAAUCCAAUAUCAAUCUACCUUGGAACUUGCCUUGAGCAAAAAUAAGCUUUGCUUUGGGACAGUGAAGGUGGAUAUGAUUUUCUGAUUCCAACCCCUCCCUUUUAGCUGAUCCAAAGUUAAUUCUUCCCUAUGAAGGUUCCCAAGCCAAAAAGCCAACCCUCCUUGAGGACACAAGGGUUCCACACAAUGCCUCAAGGGAACACAUUGAGUCUACAGAUAGGGGUGAGUAAUAGGAUUUAGCUAUAAAGAUGUCUCCCUUUGAUACCUACCAAACCAUGAAAUCAUCAAAAACCCCUUCUAAUUGUGUGCCUUUGCAACCUUCUUUCCAUCUCUCCCAUCUCACAACCAAUAUUUUUUGAAAAAUGCAAGUUAAAGAUUCCUCAGUUAUCAUGCAUUUUUUUCUUUCACACAUUCACAUUGUUGUGUCAUAUUGUUGCCAACAACUAGCACGAUAUUUCAAGCUUGCUCCUAACAUCUCCAACAUAUACACAAACCAUAGUUCAAGUUUUAGCUGAAACUGAUCAUCACCAACUUUGGCGAGGGGAGAUAUGGAACCAUGUCUUAAUACAAGGAUAUGCAAGUGAAUUCUGUUAAUGCAAAGUUCAAAGCAAUGUAUAAAUAACAGAUUAGUUUUGACACUUUGGCAAAGGAAAACUCAAAUAAUUUGCCAGCCUUUGUGUCGGCCAUAUCGCACCAUAAUGACCAAAGACCUUAUUUUACUGCAUUCCACUUCAAGAAUCUAACUUUAGCAAAAGUACAGCCUUUUGGCAUGUCAGGAAGUUCUAUAACAGGAACAUUGCGUAUGAUUGACUGAAUAACAAAGAAUUGAAAAACCGACUUACUGAAUCCACCAAUGGAAAACCAAACCUUAAAUGGUGUUCUUUGUUGCACCAAAUACUGCAUAUUUCCAGUUAGAAGAACCCAUUUAUUACAGCUACAGGGAAAGAAAAAAGAACCACCUGCUAGUUGGUAUGGUAUGAGGUCCAACACUCAGAAAUAAGGUAAAAAUGUAAGGCAUCCUUGAUGAGAAGAUUGUAUGACAGCGAGAGAGAGCACACCAGUACACAGUCAUGUUACCUCACAUGAAUGCUAACAAGUGUGCUCUCUCUCUUUGUCAAGCAAUUGCAUGUCAAAGCUUGAACUAAACAUCUGCAGAACAAGGAAACAUGCUAAGAGAAUAUAGUAGCAAACAUAUAUUAAACUGAGAAUUUUCUGAUAACCAUGGUUUGCUCACCAAGGUGAUGGACUAUAAUGUAAAGAUGCUUUAGAAUCUCAAAAUGCAAUAAGCUGUCAAAAGCCUGCAAUUUUUUUUUUUUGCAAAACAAACACCAUCCCAUGCUCGCUUCCCCAAAAUCCCCUAAUAUCGACAGAAACCAAAGAGAGCAUAAGCAAGUCCUCGAAAAUUAGUAGGAACACCUUUAACCUCAAAGUGAUUGAGCUCCCUUAUUCAUCUUAAAAGCAGCAAAAGAACAUCCACUAACCCAAAGUCUUUCUAAACACAAGACCACAUGCAUCAAAACAAAAACAGAUCAAUACCACUCCAAACGCAUGGACAUCACAACAAGCUUAACACUCUACUUCAGAAGCCUAGCUAUAGCUCUUUCUUUUAGCAAAUUGAACUUGGAGCUUUCUACUAGAGGAAUAGUCACAAAAAAAUCAAGGAAAACCAACAUAAAAACCUUAACUAGCUCCCUAUUUCUCUGCAACUAACAACAAGCAAGACAAAAAACGGCACAGAAAAAUAAUCCAACAGUUAAAUUUUGAUAUAUAAGAGGAAGUAGUAUCACAUGCAUGAUAACAUUGAAAUAAGAGGUGAAUCUACCCCUGAUAAGCCUAUGAUUGAACUGUUAAGUUUCUUAAGUAGGUAUAUCAUCAAAAACCUAAAGCAAUAUCUANNNNNNNNNNNNNNNNNNNNNNNNNNNNNNNNNNNNNNNNNNNNNNNNNNNNNNNNNNNNNNNNNNNNNNNNNNNNNNNNNNNNNNNNNNNNNNNNNNNNUCUAUUGUCAUUGAUUACAAAACUAAGCAAGAAUCACUACCAAAAUAUAAAAACAACCAUCUGAAACUGCCAGAAGCAUAAAAAUUUUUCCACAAUUAUUGAUUUUAAAACAAAUAUAAAACCCAAAUAUUGGUAUGAAAGCAACUAAGGCAUUAUUAAAAUGCAAGUUUUGGAGUCUAUCAUUCGUUAAAUUGUAAAACCGAAACUUUUCCACAGCAAAAAGCCACUGGCAGCAAACCCAACAUCUUCCAAGCCCGAAAUCUGAAAACACGGCCUCAAUCAUGGGUAUAACAAAUUGAAAAGCAUAAUAACUAGUUCCGACUCCAAAAGCAUAAUAACUUUUUCUUUUCCUUUCCUUUCCUUUCCUUUCCUCCAUUUUCUCCGCAAACAAACACGAUAUAGUAGACUCAGGCAUGCACUUCAACAGAACCAAAAACAGCACACGAAAUGCAGAAAACUAAUAAAAAGUUACAUCAGAAUAGAUCAAAUGGACAAUACCAUGCACUGUGAUUCCCAGAUCUACUACCAACAAAAUCUCAAAACUCAAAACCCAUAAAACAAAAAAAAUAAAAAAUAAAAAAAUAAAACAAAAAAAAGCAACAGAAACACCAAAAAUAACAACAAUAAUUGGGAAGAUGAUCACCUUCAUCAUCAAAUACAGAUGACCAUUCUGAAGAAAUACACAGAGAGAAUGAAAAUUUUUCAGGAGAUUUCAGUGCCAUUUUAUAGCAAGAGAAAAAACAGACAUGGUGGAAACCUAGAGUGCAAACGAAGGGUCAACUGCAGAAGAAAGACAAAAAAAUAAAAUAAAUAAAAGGAUAAAUUAAAAAACAUUAUUUUGAUUUGUGAAAGGGAUGAGGUACCAUUUUCAUAUCCACCUCUUUUUUCGACCUUAUGUUGACUGCUCCCGUCUUUUCCGCCCUACAUGUUGAGUCUUCGACAGCCAUAAAUCAUCCAUGUAGCCUGCCACCUUUAUAUGUACCACAUUUGGUUCAACGCUUCCAACUUCUCCUAAGUCCUAAUAUGGUGACGAGUUAGCCUAUGAAAAACAAGAAGUACUGCUUUUAUUAUUGUUGUUAUUAGGAUAAAAAAUUAAUAAUCCAAUUGUUCGCUUUAGUAUUAUAAUAUUAAUAAAUGUAAAUUCACUGAGAAGUGAGCCCCCGUGGCUGCUGUUCUACCACACAUAAGUGGAUUGGUGCGGGUGAAAGUUUCGAGGAAUAAUAAAAUAAAAUAACAAACAGAGUGGAUAGAACAAUAAAAUAAAAAAAUAAUAUUAGAUUUUUUUUUUUCAAACAAUUGGAAAAGAAAAAAUUAUCGAUCAAUGCAUUUUCUUUAUUUUUUAUUUUUAUUUGAGAAAAAUAUACCGAAAAUCUUUUACUAUUUUCUCUCAUUUGUUAAUUACUUGAACUACUUCUCUCCUAACCAAUUUCUCAGCAUAAAAUAACACUCCAUUUGUAAAAAUAACCCUCAUCCUUCAAAAAACUUAAAAAUGUCCCUAAACAAGUUUCUUUUAUUUUCAUCUUACUCUUUUAUUUAUUUUUUCUAAUAAAGAAAGUUGAGCUUCUCUCAUUUACUCUUCAUUGCUAAAAUAAGUUAAAAGAGGCUAAUAAUCAACAUUAUUUUUUCUUCUCAUUUUCAUUAUUUAUGUUUUCUUCUUCCAUGAUAAAAAACAAAUCUAAAAACCUUACCUAUUAUUAUUACAGACUAAAAAGAGGAACUUCUCACUAUUAGCUAUGAAAAAUGACAUCAAAAGUCAAAUAAUAGUAGGCAAUGAAUCUCAUGUAUGGAAAAUCAUGUUAAUUUCAACAUUGUUAAUGAAAAAUGACAUCAAAAGUUAAAUAAUGAUAAACAAUGAAUCUCAUAUAUGAAAAAUCAUAUUAAUUUCAACAUUAUUAAUCAAUUCUUAAUGAAAAUAUUCAAAUUUAAUUUAACUGUGAUCGAGUUUCAUUUAUAAAGACUUAAUUGGAGUUAAGUUUUCAAUCGAAAUACUUACCUAGGUUUAACCAUGGUUAAGCUUUAUUUGUGAAGAACUUAACUAAGGUUAAGUUUUUAUUCACUUGAACUUAAUUAAGAUUUAGUUUUAUUCACAAAUAACUUAACAAGAGUUCAAUUCUCAAUUAAAAUAUUUAGCUAGACUUAACUAUAAUUGAAUUAUAAUUUAUGAUAAACUUCAAAGUUAAGUCAUCAAUAAAAAUAUUCAUUUGAAUUUAAAAUAUGGUUGUUUAAAUUUCAUUUGCAAAUAACUAAUAGAUUAUUGUAGACCCCCAUUUAGGCAUGAGUCACUUUUUCUCUAUUUGUUUUUGUAGAUCACAUUUUUAGCCAGGUGCCACUAUCCCAGCGGGCCACGUGUCACAUCCCUAAUGGCCAUAAGGAAUCAACCUCGCUUUUUGAAGCUGCAGUAGGACUUUGACACGUGGAGGAACUUCUUGCAGAAGGAGUGGGACAGAAAGGUGGCUGCAGAAGGAGUAGGGCAGAAAAAGGUGGCUGCAGGAGGAGUAGGACAGAAGAAGGUGGCUGCGGCAGAGAUCGUUGGGAAGACAAAUCUGAAAAACGAGAGGAGGUUGGCAGAAAAAAAGAGAGGAGUUUUUCUGAGAGAUCAAGAAAAAAAAAAAAAAAAGGAGGAAGAGAUAGAGGAGUUUUUUUUGGGGAGUUUUGAAGGGAAAAGAGAUAGAAAAAGGAAAAGAAUUUGGAAGGAGAGAGAGGAGAAAGAAGAAGAGACAAAAAGAAAAAGGAGGAAGGGAAGGGAGGAGAGUUUAGCCAGAGACGCUUAGUUGGAGAAGGGGCUUUCAGGUAUGAUUAUCACUCUUUUACACCUCUUGUGAAUAUUUGAAUACUCAUAGAUCUGUUUGGGGUGGAUAAUGAAGGCCACCAGUCUGCUUGUUGAAGUAUGACCCUGCAUUUGUGUUUGCCAUUGUCCAUUUUAACUUGCUAUGAUCCUACUGUGAUUAUGAAAUGCUUGAGAUUCAUGAGGGUGGUUGCAUUUGAUAUGGUUUACCCACCUGCUCAAAAGAUUCAUGGAUGAUUCAUGAAAUGGAUUUUCUGAGAUUUUUCUUUAUUUAUUCGUCUUCUUUCACGCUCUGUUUCUCUACUUCCCCUGUUUCUUGAUAUUCGUCCAUGGUACGCAUCCAUUUUCCCAUCCUUGCUCGAAAGAGAUCCUAGAAAAUCUGAAGUAGUUGUCAUGGCAGCAAAGCUCACCUCAUCAGCAUCCCCAUACCCAUCGUUCAUCUAUCCACCACUCUCUCUAGGUCAUCAUACCCAUUUCCUCACUUAAGCUCGCAGGAAUUAAGCAUCCUCCACUAUACCCAUCUUCCUCUCAUUCAUUCUCCAUCCCACUCUCUCGCUUACAUGGAGUCUCACGGGUGCAUGCCAUCCUUCACUCCUUCACAUACCCAUUAAAACCACUCACCCAAGCCCCCAUAUCCAUACAACCCAUACCUAUCCUUCAUGCUACUCAUAACCACAUUUUACCUAAUCCGGAUGUCUCACAUUCGGAAUUCCUCCCCGCCAACAUUCUAUCCGGACAUCUCGCAUCCGGAAUUCUCCUCAGCCAACAUUCCAUCCGGACAUCCCACAUCCGGAAUUCUCCUCCGCCUUCAUUCUAUCCGGACAUCUCGCAUCCGAAAUUCUUCUCCGCCGACAUUCCACCCGGAUGCCUCACAUUCGGAAUUCUUCUCCCGCCGACAUUCCACCCGGAUGCCUCACAUCCGGAAUUCCAUCCGGCCAACGUUCUACCUUAUCUGGAUGUCUCACAUCCGGAAUUCUUCUCCGUCGACAUUCCACCGGAAUAUCUCACAUCCGGAAUUCUCCGCCGACGUUCCACCUUCUCCGGAUAUCUCACAUCCGGAAUUCUGUCCGGUCGACGUUCAACCUUCCUCGGAUAUCUCGCAUCCGGAACUCUGUCCGGCUGACGUUCCACCUUUUUUUCUUCAUCCUUAGAGCAUUUUCUUUAGGUCCCAAAAUCACAUUUUUAAUAAAGCUUUACUACCACUUUUAUUUCUGGCAAGCAAUUUUCAUACUUCCUCUGUUUUUAAAAUGUUUUGAAAUAAGCAAGGAAUCAAAUUCCGUAAUUCCGAACAAUGGAGUUAUCGGAAUUGAUUUAGGCAAGAUAAAACGGGCUUUGGUGGGGGCCCCACAUAUGUGACUGAUCGAUUGAUUGACUGACUGAUUGACUUGAAUUACCAUGCGUGAUUGAUUUUAUUUUGCUCUAUGACAUGCUCGAAAUUAUUUCUUAAUUGUGCAUUAACCUCACUUUUUGAUAAGCUUAUUGUGGCUCGUCGCCCAGGUACGUAUCUAUUCCCAUUAUGGUAUUUCUAUAUGCAUGCUUUGAUUCUCAUAUGUGCACGAUAGUUCCGGGUAUUCAUUGAUUUCCUAAUUAAUCGCCAUGAUUGCUCCAUUUUAUUAGUAGAGACCCAUUUUAGGGACUUAGAGGGGUGCUACGGUCUUUACCGUACCUUCCUGAUAAGUAACCUGACCCUCGAACCCUAUCCGGUUUUUUGCAGAUCACCUUUUCCAAAUAAGGAGUCACACUUAGGGUUUUUCUUUCUUAUUUUGUUUACCCUUUUAAAAAUAAAACAAAAAUAAGUGGCGACUCCAAGUCAAUUUUCUUUUUCAAUCAAUUAAAUCAUUUUUCAAAUAAAAAAUCGAGCUUGCCAUUCGAGUGGGAAACGCAUUGAGCCGAAAUGCGGGGUCCACAAUUAUGUUCAUAUUUAAGUUAAAAUUCUAAAUUUAAAAAUUUUAUGUGGACUUGAUUAUGGUUUUUAUUUAUAAAGAACUAUAGUUAAGAUGUACUUAUGAAGAGCUACUAAAUUAAUUUUUGCAAAUCAAACUAUUAACCUAAAAUUUGAUUAUGUAUAACAAUAUACAAAGUGUUAAUAACAAAAUAUAUAAUAUUCUAAUCAAAAUGUUCACUUGGUUUGAAAAUAUGUUUUUACCAUAUCAAACUAUGUUAAAAAAAAUUAAAAUUUCGAAUACAAAGUAAAAUUCCUUCAAAUUAAGAGUCAAUCCUCAACAAAAUAUGAACUCAUUAUAUCAGCAAAUUUUGAAAGCAAAACAAUUGCCUUGUCAUUUUCUCUUAAAACCAAUUUACACGAACAUUUAUUAAUGAACUAGAUAGAUAGCCAUACAUAAAUUAUUCUCUGUAUUUGAUUAAGAACAUUUCAUAAUCACAUUGCAUAAAAAAUCAACAAUCAAAAUUAAGAUUAUUAUUGAAAAUAAUUAUAUAAGACAUAAUGGUAAAAUGACGAGAUGAAAGUUUGAAUGUGUAUUCAUAUUCAUGUUGAUAAACAUUAUGCAAUCGUUCCAUGUAUGUAUCACCAUUUUCUCUAUAUAUAAUACACCACAACAUAUAAUACAAGAGAUAACAAACUAGUUAAAUGUGUGAUGACACCCUUUAAUAGAUUAUCACGAUUAAUAUCUAUCAAUGAGACAUAUUAAUAUGGGUUCCAAUAAAAUUGUAUUUAUUCAAGAUAACAAAUAAUAUGGGUUGAAAGAUGAUAUUAAACAUCCACAAAAAUCCAAAAGAACCUACAAGCCAAGUUGUGUUUUACAUUAAUAAUUUAUCAAGUCUUGCUUUGAAAAUUUUAUACAAUGAUGUUUGAAUUUUUUUUUUUUUGAAAAAAAAAUUCUAAACUAAAAUUCUUUUAGAUAACCAAGUUAGAAAUUCUUUUGUUGAUCGAAUAAGUACUCAAUUUAUUUAUUCAAAUAGCUUUUUUUAUUUAAUUUUUUAACAACUACUUUUAAGUUAAGCUAAGCAAAUUUAUUUUCAAUAAAAAUUUCUUCACAAAUUUAUUCCUAAAAAGUGUAAAUUUAAUCCUCAUAUAACAUUUUUUUUUCUUGAGCUUUCUAUUUUUGAAUCAUCCCUACUAUGAAUCAUAGUCUAGCUCCUCUAAACACUACAUAAUAGUCAUAUAUUAAAAGACACUUCACAAAAACUCAAACUAUUAUUUUAUCAUAGAAAAAAAAUAUGAAAUAUCUUUUAAUAUUAAUUAUCAUUUGAAAUUACUAUACAAUAUAAGAAAACUCGUGCACAAUUUCCCAACAUCAUAGAAUUUGGAAAGCUUAGAUUUGAUCAAGAUUAGAAAAAUAAGCACUUAACUACAUUCAUUCAUAAAAGAAAAGUAAUCAUCAAACUAGAAAACUUAUCAUUGUAUACUAUAUUGUAAAAUGUUAUUCUCCACUUAUAUAAAUAACUUAAUUUCAAACAUAAAUGUGUAUUCUCAAUCAAUAUAUAUUCCAUACAAGCAUGAAACAAAUUCCUAAAAUCUCUAAAGAUCCAUAAUUUUUGUCCUAAAAUAGAAAAUAAACUCGAAUCAAAUGUCAAAAAUGUUAUCUAAUUCAUUAUAAAUUCAAGCCUAUUAAUAAUGAGAAUAUUUUAAAAAUUAUAAAUAUGUCAUUUAUUAUUUUGAACACACUUCGAUACUUACAUUCAAAUCAUUACAUAACAUUGUCCUACAAAUCAUAGUUGUUAUAUAUUAUCAAUUCAUUAAUUUGAAACAUACAUAAAUUCCCAAAAAUUUUAAAAUUUAGAAAACAAAGACUAUAGUACUUAUGAACUCAUUGACAACUAGUGGGUUGUGUUCUCUUUGUUAUUUUGAAGCUCUCUAUCUCUUAUCACUUUUCAAAAACUUAUUUUUUACUUCUUACUUGAAGAUUAGGCAUGAAGCAUUUUCAAAGAUGAAAGUACAACUAAAUCAAGAAGGGAAUAAGAAGUGAUGAAGGUUUUCCAGGGUUUUCAUUCUUUACCUCUAAAAGAGAAAGGAAAAUUUAGGUUUGAAUUAAGAGAGAGAUGAGAAGUGAGAGAGGUUUGUUACA
rnacentral:lncRNA from 1 species